AGCGAACGCUGGCGGCAGGCCUAACACAUGCAAGUCGAACGAACUCUUCGGAGUUAGUGGCGGACGGGUGAGUAACACGUGGGAACGUGCCUUUUGGUUCGGAAUAACUCAGGGAAACUUGUGCUAAUACCGAAUGUGCCCUUCGGGGGAAAGAUUUAUCGCCAUUAGAGCGGCCCGCGUCUGAUUAGCUAGUUGGUGAGGUAACGGCUCACCAAGGCGACGAUCAGUAGCUGGUCUGAGAGGAUGACCAGCCACACUGGGACUGAGACACGGCCCAGACUCCUACGGGAGGCAGCAGUGGGGAAUCUUGCGCAAUGGGCGAAAGCCUGACGCAGCCAUGCCGGGUGAAUGAUGAAGGUCUUAGGAUUGUAAAAUUCUUUCACCGGAGACGAUAAUGACGGUACCCGGAGAAGAAGCCCCGGCUAACUUCGUG
rnacentral:rRNA from 1 species